rnacentral:lncRNA from 1 species
GUUGAGGGUUUGUGUUAAGAAGAAAGAAAGGAAUUGAGUGUUUUGGAAGUGUUAGAUAUGUAAAAGCUUUAGUCAGUGGCUCACGGGAUUGAAAGUUGAGUGGAAAGGAAAUAAGAGAGUUUGAGGAACUGGAGGAUGAGUGUGAUUUUAUAUUCCCAAAAGGAGAGAGAGAAAAAAAUAUUUUGUAAGAGAGAAAAAGAGAUUGGAUUGGAAGAGAGAGAAAAAGUUGAGUAAAAGUUGAAUAGUAGAUAGAAAAAGUUGGACAAUAGAGGAGAGAAGAAAGAAAGUAUGCCAAAUCAGCAUGAAAUUAACACCAUUAUCGUCAACUUAACGGAGAGGACCUUAUUCAUACAAUUUUUCAUAACAUAGGGACCCAAUGUCUUAUUUUUAAAACCGGGUACAUAACAGAAAUCCACCUCUUAAUAUGGGGGCGAAGUAAGCAUUUAAACCUUAAUUUAGUGAUGAAUAGAAUGUUAGUUAGACUCAAUAUUGUUCGGUCUUUGACGUUAUUAGGUCUAGGUGGACAAUCGUUAGUUAGACUCAAUAUCGUUCGACUUGUGUUCAACGUCGUUCGGUCUUUAAUUAUGUUUGGUCUAUGUUCGGCCUUCAUUUGUUAAUGAUCGUCUGGUCUUGCACUUGUGUUUUGUCUUUGACUGUUUCGUUCAGUCUUUAAUUGUGUUCGGCCUAUGUUCAGCCUUCAUCUGUUAAUGAACAUUCGGUCUUGUUCUUUUCUGUUAUAACUGUCUCUGGUGCUUGGCUAUAUUAUGGCCAUUCCCUGUUUUUUUUCAAAAAAUUGAAAUUCAGUAUUCAUUCAGAUCAUUUCUCUUGCUCUCUGGUUUUCAUUCUGGGUUUCUUUAUCUACUUUGCAUUUGGACUCUUUUUCC